rnacentral:lncRNA from 1 species
UUUUGAUCAUUUUCAUUCAGUUGAUAAUAUUUCAAACAUUCUUACUCUAAAGAGUGUGUUAACAUUAACAUUUUGAAGAAGUCAAAGAUAAUGACUCUAAAGAAUUUAAUUUAACAACUCUGAAGAAAAAGUUAAUUUACAUUUGAACUUUCAUGAAAUCAAAAUUUCAAGUCUUGUACUUAGAGGGAGGUUGCAAACCUCACUCGGUACUUAAGCUGAAGAAUUUUGAUAGUCUAAAAACUCAGAGGAAG